GUUGAUAUGAAGGAAACUUUGAAGCCCUUUUGGGCCAAGCAAAUGGCAAGUCGAGCAAAGGGAAUGAGAUGACCGAAGGCCAGCCAUGGAAAUACCGCUACGUGCAAGACGUCGCUGCUGUUUGACAUUAAAGCAAAGCAAAACCAGAGUAAGACAAUUGCUUCAGUGUUAUGUAUAUUUAAACAGAAGAUGACAUUUUAAUAUAUAUGGGUUGGUAAUAAUAAUUAAGGAUAUAACAUUCUUUAAAAAAAUUAUUCACUUAUAGAACUGAUAGAUUUCGUAUGUUUUAGAUUUAUAUCAUGGAUAAAAUUUGACAAAUUUUUUAUAUCGAUAAAUUUUUUAAAAUAUUGUUAUAUAUUUAAUUAUUUUAAAUUUAAUGAAUAAAUUUGUAAUUAUCAUUUUUUUAAAUAGCAUCAUUUUAUUUUUAUUAUGAUACAUGAGCUAAUAAUUGAGUUGAGCAAUUUUGGCUCAUUGAGUUGAGCAAUUUUGACCAAAACUGAUGUGUAGUCCUUUUUAAAUACAUAUAAGGAUUGAGCUACAAUCUUUCCAUCUUUUAAAAAGGUUUUUACAUUUUCUUUUUAUUUUUCUUUAUAAUAUUAUGGAAAAAUUAAGUCAUUUGUUUGGUGAUCUUGGAUGGAAUUGAUUUGUAAUGAAUAUAAGGUUCAUGUCUAGAUGAAAGAUUAGAUUUUACUAAUUCUCUUACUCAUUCUUUCCAUUAAUUCUCUUAUUUAUCGAUUAUUCACGCUUUUCAAUAUUUAUCUGAUUUUCAAAGACCAUGUUUAAAUUAAAUGUUUUGAGCUUGGUUUGUUAUACAAUACUCGUUUUGUUCCAACUUCCAACAAUUUUGAAUCUAAUUCUCUUUUUCGUUGUUUUUACCCAUCAUUUCCAGUAAUGUGAAGUGCUUCGUAGACCAUGUGAGGAUAGGAUGAUAGAAAAUGCAUUGAACCAAAAUUAGAUCAAUGUGAAAAGUUUUAUGUUGGAAAGAAUUUUAUAUUAUUAACAAGUUCUACAAUUUAAAACAUGACUUUUGAAAUUUUUUUUACGAUUGAUUCGAUGUAUGUUAUCCUAUAGAUCCACAUGCUUGCAAUAACCGAUUACAAUGUGGCUGGAAGCACAAACAUGAGCGUUGAAUGAAGAAGACGAAUGAGGAGUGCAACUAUAGAAUGAGAAGAUUCAAAUAUUUGUUUAUUAAACAGAAAAAUACAUACUUUUAUAUCAG
rnacentral:lncRNA from 1 species